GACGGAGGGUGCAAGCGUUGUUCGGAAUUACUGGGCGUAAAGGGCGCGUAGGCGGUCUGUUAAGUUCGGUGUGAAAGCCCCCGGCUCACCUGGGGAACUGCGCCGGAAACCGACAGACUCGAGUACCGGAGAGGAGGGUGGAAUUCCUGGUGUAGCGGUGAAAUGCGUAGAUAUCUGGAGGAACACCGGUGGCGAAGGCGGCAUUCUGGACCGAUAUUGACGCUGAGGAGCGAAAGCCAGGGGAGCAAACGGG
rnacentral:rRNA from 1 species